UAUUAUUAAAAAUGUAAAUUAAAAUAUUUAAGUAGUAAUAGUUAUGUUCUUGAAACUUAAAAAAUUUGGCGGUAUUUUAGUCUAUCCAGAGGAACCUGUUUUGUAAUCGAUAAUCCACGAUGGACCUUACUUAAUUUUGUAAUCAGUUUAUAUACCGUCGUUAGCAGAAUAUUUUAUAAGAAUAAUAAUAUUCAAUAAUUUUUAUUAAAAUUUAUAUCAGAUCAAGGUGUAGCUUAUAAUUAAGUUUUAAUGGGUUACAAUAAAUUUAUUUAAACGGAUAAAAUUAUGAAAAAUUUUUUGAAGGUGGAUUUGGUAGUAAAUUUAUAAAGAUAAAUAAAUUGAUUUUAGCUCUAAAAUAUGUACACAUCGCCCGUCGCUCUUAUUAUUAAGGUAAGAUAAGUCGUAACAUAGUAGAUGUACUGGAAAGUGUAUCUAGAAUGA
rnacentral:rRNA from 1 species